UUGGGCACUUAUACAGCACGAAGAAACUCAAAUAGUAUCUUUUAGCCAAUCUUUUUGCAUGAGGCCCUAGAUCAUUACAAGGUCUUGGAAUUGUUGUAUGCUACAUAUCUCCUUUCUGCCAUUCUUAGUUUUUUCUAUUUAUAGUCUAUUUGAACUUUUGCCUACAAAGCAAGGAAUGUGGAACCUUCGUGAACCACUCGAUUUAGGGUAUACCAAACCAUGCCCGUGGUAGAUCGGUAAUGGUUGCGGCAUUCCAAGCGAGAAACCGGCAAAUGAGGAAUAGAGGGAGAAGGAAAGAGAGGAGAAGUGGGAGAGGGGGGAGGGAAGGAGAGUAAGGGUGGGCUAUUAGAGGCCAUGGGUGAUCUUGUUGCUGACUUCACAUAGAAAUUGUAAACUAAAAAAGAGAGAUUCAAUAGACCCCUAUUUUCCCUAUUCGAUCGUUUGGAGCAUGGAGUGCCACCUCUAACCCUCUGGCAGCCCUUCCUCUCUCUUCCUCUCCCACUCAUUCUCUCUCUUUUCCUAUCUCACGUUCUUCCUCUACCUUGCCCUCUCUCUCUUUUUCUCUCUCAUGUUCUUCCUCUCCCCUGCCCUCUCUGUCGUGUCGGGUCAUACUCCACCGGCCUACGUCAGCCUUCACCAUCUCUCCCCCUCCCUUCUUCCCUCUUCCUCUCUAUCCCACCCCCCCUCCUCUCUCUCUUUUCCUCUCUCUCGUUCUCCCUCUCCUCUACCCUCUCUUCUAUGUUGGUAUAGAUCCAGCAUGGAACAGCACAAGGGAAUAGCGAAUCGUGCUGUUGGCCGACCUAUCUGGCACGGCGAAUCUUGCAACAAAAUAAAUUAAUAUAGUUAAAGAUGGUCACAAAAACUUUCUAUGGUGGCCUUUCUGAUUCUCAAAAGAAGAUGAUGCCGUUUGAAGUUUAGUUGCACACUUCUUGCAGGCAAAUAGAAGGAACGACAACUUCCGAAAGACAGGCCUUAUCUGGACUCUCAAAUACAGGAGCACUCCUAACUUUUGGUUGGGGACUUUAUUGGCAGAUAAGUAAAUCUCCAUGGCUGUACAUAUUCUCCUGUAACAUGAUAUAGAUUAUACUACUAUUAAAAGGUAUUACUGCAGAAUUUCAUCUCGAGCUUGGAUUGACCAGAAUUGGGCAGCGACGGCAAGACCUGUAGAAAAAGUCUCCGACUGGGAUGGUUCUAGUGGAGAUUCUUCGACACAAGUCAGAACUCUGAACAAUAUAGGAAAGAAGUGAGCAUAUUUGGAGAGAGAAGAUUUCAUACUUUGGGGGUCCCUUGUGGGUCUUUAUUUAUAGGUAGAGACUGAAGAGCCGUGAGAGAAAAAAAAAAUCAAGUAGUUAGCCUUGCCUCAUCAGGCAAGAUUUAGCCAUUAUCUUUCUUUAUCUAAAGAGAUAUAUUUGUUA